rnacentral:snoRNA from 1 species
GUUUGAAUGAUGACUUUGUAAUAAAUGUCGGAUACCCCUUCACUCGUCUUAUGAGUGAAAAUAGUAGUCUGACAAAC